GACGAACGCUGGCGGCGUGCUUAACACAUGCAAGUCGAACGGAAAGGCCCUGCUUUUGUGGGGUGCUCGAGUGGCGAACGGGUGAGUAACACGUGAGUAACCUGCCCUUGACUGUGGGAUAACUUCAGGAAACUGGGGCUAAUACCGGAUAGGAGCUCUUGCUGCAUGGGGGGGGUUGGAGAGUUUCGGCGGUUGGGGAUGGACUCGCGGCUUAUCAGCUGGUUGGUGGGGUAGUGGCUUACCAAGGCUUUGACGGCUAGCCGGCCUGAGAGGGUGGCCGGCCACAUUGGGACUGAGAUACGGCCCAGACUCCUACGGGAGGCAGAAGUGGGGAAUAUUGCACAAUGGGCGGAAGCCUGAUGCAGCAACGCCGCGUGCGGGAUGACGGCCUUCGGGUUGUAAACCGCUUUCGCCUGUGACGAAGCGUGAGUGACGGUAAUGGGUAAAGAAGCACCGGCUAACUACGUG
rnacentral:rRNA from 1 species